rnacentral:rRNA from 1 species
UGGGGAAUUUUGGACAAUGGGCGAAAGCCUGAUCCAGCAAUGCCGCGUGUGUGAAGAAGGCCUUCGGGUUGUAAAGCACUUUUGUCCGGAAAGAAAUCCUUGGCUCUAAUACAGUCGGGGGAUGACGGUACCGGAAGAAUAAGCACCGGCUAACUACGUGCCAGCAGCCGCGGUAAUACGUAGGGUGCAAGCGUUAAUCGGAAUUACUGGGCGUAAAGCGUGCGCAGGCGGUUUGCUAAGACCGAUGUGAAAUCCCCGGGCUCAACCUGGGAACUGCAUUGGUGACUGGCAGGCUAGAGUAUGGCAGAGGGGGGUAGAAUUCCACGUGUAGCAGUGAAAUGCGUAGAGAUGUGGAGGAAUACCGAUGGCGAAGGCAGCCCCCUGGGCCAAUACUGACGCCCAUGCACGAAAGCGUGGGGAGCAAACAGGAUUAGAUACCCUGGUAGUCCACGCCCUAAACGAUGUCAACUAGUUGUUGGGGAUUCAUUUCCUUAGUAACGUAGCUAACGCGUGAAGUUGACCGCCUGGGGAGUACGGUCGCAAGAUUAAAACUUAAAUGAAUUGACGGGGUCAUAGCUGUUUCCU